UAGGUUUUGUCUGUCAGUAGCAUUGCCCUUGCUGGGAUAUUGGUUGAGUAGUGACUGAAAGGGAAGAGUGCCAUCAUCCCCACUUCACGCAGCAUGCCGGCUUUACCUGGGAAGUCACUCAUCAGGUUCAAUGCUACUUAGCUUUUUGAAGAUAGGACAAGGCCCCAGAACAAGACAGUACAACUGCAGGCAUAUCUCUUAUUUGGAAAUUAGAGACACUGAAUUACUCUGAGGACAGACAGAAAACAAGCAUGAAGUUACCUCAGGUCUUCUAGCCUACAGUUUGGAUGCUUUAGUACAGAGCAAAUAUUCUUCAUUGCCUCAUCCUUCAAAUCGUUGUCUGAGAGGCUUAGGGGGAAAUGAAUAGAGAGAAUUACAAGCUUGGACACAGAGACACAUUGUGUUAGCUUCAAAGCUGAAAUCCUGGGCUGGGCUUUCUCUUCAGUCCCUUGGAGGUGUACUGUUUACUAAGACAGCAUGGAGCUAUGGAUAAGGCACGAGACUGACGAGCAGGACUUCUGGGAUCCAUCCCUAGCUCUGUUACAAAUGAAAAAGUGCAAUUCGCACGUGCUCAGCAGGGACUGGUAGAGCUUAACAGCUAAAAUCUCCCAAGCUCCCAUCCUCACUGAGCAUGCUCCAGCCUCUCACUGCUCCUAGUGCUGCCCAGACUGCUCAUGCACCAUCCCCUCAGAGCAAAACGGAGCAUGUUUUCAGCUGCUCCAGGCUGGGGUGGAGCAAAACCCCAGAACUCUGAGCAAGGAACCACCCUUCAAUGUCCCCCUUGUCUCCCCUGCUGGGGCCCAGGCUGCACAGAGGAGGAGGAUGCCUGAUUUGAAUGCAGAAAAGACAAAAGCCAGACCAGGGUGAAGGAAAGAAGUAGACUGGAACAAGAAGUAUGCUCAGGUCUGAGUCGUUCCAGGCCCUCGUUCUGGAUGAAGCAGGAAUCUAGGGUUAGGCGCUGUAUUUCUUCACAGCAACUCAGAACAUAAGAAAGGACCGUGCAAUCCACCGGCAUGAGGUAUAACUCUGAGAAGUCCAGGUGGGUAUCUUUACCCACCACAUCACACACAAGUUGUCUGUUCCGGGAUUCAAACAGCAAAUUCAAUACAUUCAUCAGCCUCCUCUUCCCUUCAGGAUCAUCUCUGCUCUGCAGCUCCUCAUAGUUCAUCUCACUGAGCCACCCAAUAACUUUGUAAUGCACGAGGGCAGCAAAGAACUCCUGGAUGGUGAGGUGAAGGAAGGAGUAGGUCACCUGGGAAGA